AGUUAAUGAACUUGUAUAAGUAUAUGUUUUGAAAACAUAAUAAAAAGUAAAAACCUUUAU
rnacentral:tRNA from 1 species